rnacentral:lncRNA from 1 species
UUUGUUGUGAUACUUUUGAAGCAGCUAUGAUAACUUCUUGAAUAUCCUUCAAACCUUGCGUGUCAAAUUGGGUUUCAAAAUGCAGCUUACUAUUUAAGCGUACCAAGUAAGUUUUUUGAUUGUCUAAAAUAUUUAUAAAAUCAUCAACUGUGAAAUUCAUCUGAAAAAAGUUAUUUAUUUAUGAUUUACAUACUAUACAUACAUUUAUUUCAACAUUUUAGCAUAGAUAUUUUGCGUUAUUUAAAACAAGUUUUAUAUUUUCGUUAUAUAAAACAAAUUUGUCUGUAAUAUUCAUUAAUUACUUAUAGCAAUAUUCUUUAGAAGAAUGUUUAUUCUUCUAAAGGAUUUUAUAAAUUAGACGCAAUACAUAACCUCUUUCGUCGUUAUUCGGUUUCGCAUGAGUUCACGCUUACAUUUGCACGGCGAGUUAUUAUUAAUAAAACAUAAUAAGAUAUUAUUGGCGUUCAUUUACCGUUUACUUGAAGAUGAUGUAUAAAUAAAUUGCUGAUUUGCGUGGGUGCUUUCUCGUUCUGGAAAGAUUUCGAUUCGGGUCCCAUUGCUCGAUCUGUGAAAUCCACCAACUCCGGUAAAGUUCACGAAUUCGGGAAUUUUACUCGAGAGUCGUCGCGCUACUCUCGGUAAAAUCACACCGCUGAGCAUGGGAAAAAUACCGACGAUAUAGAGGGACCCCCGCUCAACGUGGUAAUGUUACAGUCACAUGUCACUUUACGUCGUUGAAGCAUGUGAUUUCGUACAUGAAAAUGGCAAUCUUCCGCAAAACUUUUUACAGUGUAGGCGAGCUGAUUACCGCGAUGGUGACUGAUGAGUAUGCCAUGUGACUAUGUGAGGUUUGAGGUUAUAAGUAUAUUAAAUUUCAUCGAGACAAAAGUGAUUACACGACAAUUACAUUACAAAUAGUGGUUCAAAAUCUGUUAUUUUGAUACUGGACUCGCGUCAGAGUCCCACUAAAAAAUGAGUAACCAAAAUCUCGACUGCGUAUUAAUUUUGGAAGAUGAAUCCUCCAAUUCUUCAUACACUUUGCACGUCAGCCAUGAUGUGCAUGAUAAAGCAACUAGAGAUUUAUCGUUUGCAACAAGGCUUUUGCAAUCGCACAAAGCAAGUAUAGCUGAACAAGCAUCCAAUGCAGUACAGACCAACAUGGUUCCACAAACUUCUAAUGCUUGUCAUGUAAAUAAUUUAAUUCCAUUACAACUGUUUGAAGAACAAACUGGUCAGUUACUGCUUACUACUCUCUUUUGAAGAUCACGAACGUGCAUCGACUGAUGCAGUAUUUGCUGAUGGUAGAAUGUGAAGUCCCAAGUACGCAGGAGGGAGAAGAAGAAAGUACUAGGUAUCCAAAACGCCCAAUAAGUGAGCCCCAGAAAUACGCGAUUUUUGGAGUCGGAUCCGAGGCGAUGAUUCAACCCCUAGCAGCAAGUGCCCGAUGUUCUAGCUUACCUAUAUUUGCGUAUUUUUUCGUUCUCUUCAAUUCUCCGUAGGUUUGUAUAAUGAGAAAACAUGCAAAGGUACUGAAAACGCCCGAUAAAUGAGCCCCAGAAAUUCGUGAUUUUCCACGUCAGAUUUGAGACGAUACUUCGCCACUUAGCAGCAACUGCCCGGAGUUCUAGCUUACCUAUAUUUGCGUGUUUUUCUGCCCUUUUAAAGCCUACGUAGGUUAGAUUUACGUGAAAACCUGCAAAGGCGCCGAAAGCACCUGAUAAGUGAGCCCCAGAAAUUCGAGACGAUAAUCUCAACAUAAACACUGUAGUUUCACUUAAAUAUUCUGAGUUUUGUUCAAUUUGAUUUUGCGAAAAGAAACAGGCUCUAUUAGCUCUGACGAGUACCUUUGGACCGGGUAAUUUUUUCCAGCGUCACGGACAAGUCACGAAGAUCGUCAGACAGCAUUACAGACUUUUCAGUCUGCAAGAUCUUCAAGAUGGAUGACGAUAACUCGCUAAUCGAAGAUCAGAUGCAGAUACACCGAGAGUAUUGUAGUCGCAUAAUAAAAUAUGACUUAAAGCAGCUCUUUCAACAACUGAAGGAGGAUUCGAUAAAUAAAACAAUGAAGAAUUUAAUUAGGGAGAUUGUCAGGAUCGAUCGAGUCGCUGUGUUUUGUUGAACCAUUUUUAAUAAACCUAAGUUAUUAAAUUAUUACAAAAUGUGUCAAGCUGAGAUGUUGGCUAUGAAUUAUCACAAGUUUGAAGGCACUUCGAUGUAUUAAAAAAGCCACGCGCAGACCAAUUGCUAUGUUAUGCUAGUAAUGAACGUAUUGCAAAAGAGUUUAAGACUAAAAAUUACGAGAACCUUUACCCGAUUUAUGCCUCGAAGUUGGCGAAGAGAUUCACUGAAGUUCCCAACAAGCCUAUGACUUUGAAAGACAAAACGAGGGACCACUUCAAAUUCACAGAAUUCGUGAAGAGAAUCGGGUUCGGAUUGGAUUCGGAUUACGAGAUGUACGGAAGACCCCUGCCAUCAAUCAUAAAACGACUUGAACGAUUCAUACCAACGGUAGAGAUAUACUUUAUGAAUCAAUUGUUCGUCCAGAAGGAGCCAGUAGUGUCAAAAAAGCUAAACAUUUCAAAUUAUUACUCAAAGUAUCAAGAUGAACUGAUGGCCAUGGAAAAUGGAAAAUUUGAGGAUACUUCGAUUGCAUACAUCGAUUUAUUGUAAAAACCGGUAGACUUAUUGGCUCGAUAUGUGCGAAAAGAUAAACUAGUGCAAGAAUUCACAACUAAAAAAUACAAAACUCUUUUCCCGAUUUGUAAAUCGAUGUUAAAAAUUAAAUUUAACAAGGCUUGUGCUAGAAGAAUGUUAAUAGAAAAUGUAUCUACCGCAUUAAGUGAGAUCCUGCAGUUUGAUUCCCCCGAUCAGAUUUUCGAAAAAAUCAUUGAAUAUUUGAGUAAACAACAGAUGGACUAUAUUGACAAUUGUACCAAGAUUUAAAAUUACAUUUUACUUCACAAUUUUCGGGAUUGUUCGACCAAAAGCGAUGCUAAUUUUAAGUUUACUAGCGAAUUUAGACGCGCUUCGGUUUAAUUUUGUACUUUAGAGUUUUUUAGAUAUGUGUGCAUCAUUUUUGGUAUAAAAGUAAAAUUUUCUUUUGGAAAACAUAUAAUUAUUGUAGAAUAAUUCAUAUAAUUUUGCAAAAUACAUUGAGUGAUCAAUAAAUUAAA